AUUACUAUAAAUCGAAGUGUCGAA
rnacentral:siRNA from 1 species